rnacentral:rRNA from 1 species
GUGGCGGACGGGUGAGUAACGCGUGGGUAACCUGCCCUGUACAGGGGGAUAACAGCUGGAAACGGCUGCUAAUACCGCAUAAGCGCACGAGGAGACAUCUCCUUGUGUGAAAAACUCCGGUGGUACAGGAUGGGCCCGCGUCUGAUUAGCUGGUUGGCAGGGUAACGGCCUACCAAGGCAACGAUCAGUAGCCGACCUGAGAGGGUGACCGGCCACAUUGGGACUGAGACACGGCCCAAACUCCUACGGGAGGCAGCAUG